UCUGUGAUGGAUCGCAGUUGCAUCACAUGGGAUCUUCCUUGCAACAGGCCAGUUCUUCAGUUCUGGCAAUGUGAACUCUUAGUUGCAGCAUGUGGGAGCUAGCUCCCUGACUAGGGAUCGAAUCUGGGCCCUCUGCAUUGGGAGUGCAGAGUUUUAGCCACUGGACCGCCAGGAAGUCCCCAGGUUUGGUUCAGUUGGUUUGUUUUUCAGCUGUUAGGUAAGUAUCUACUGAUUUUUCACCCUUAUUGAUUACAGGCUUCCUGAGAGCAAGGACUGUGUCUUGGAUUCAUUACUCUGUCUCUCGCACCUUCAACUGUCCUUGGAAGCCACACUACCAGCCCAUACCCUGAAUCCACGUGAAUUAGAAAGAAAGGACACUCCUGCCUCAAAUUACUAGAACGUCACCACCUGUGACCAGAGUGUUCCUUGUAAAACUGCUUGGUAAUUGUGAAGUAAGUGACAUCCUCGGGUGGCAGGCAACCUGGGAGCAUGAUUUGCUCCAUUAUAUAAACAUCACCCCUGAGCUGACAAGGUUGUUACUAGUUUCCUUUGCUCUACACGCAACAAGCCAAAUGCUGAGAAACCAAGGUUUACAACCGAGAAAGAGUUUAUGCACAAGGCCGUUAAACAAGGAAACGGAAAACAAGACUUAGCUCUGCUUCCCUGAAGCCAAGAGGGUUGCAAUGUUUAUGGAAUGAGCAGGGAUGAGGAGGGUGGUCCUCAGUUCAGUUCAGUCGCUCAGUCGUGCCCGACUCUUCACGAACCCAUGAAUCGCAGCAUGCCAGGCCUCCCUGUCCAUCACCAACUCCCGGAGUCUACUCAAACUCACGUCAACUGAGUUCGUGAUGCCAUCCAGCCAUCUCAUCCUCUGAUGUCUCCUUCUCCUCCUGCCCCCAGUCCCUCCCAGCAUCAGGGUAUUUUCCAAUGAGUCAACUCUUCGCAUGAGGUGGCCAAAGUAUUGGGGAAAGGUGAUUCGUGCAGAAAGAGGUGCAGUGUGCUCAGUCACGUCUGACUCCACGACCCCAUGGACUGUAACCCGCCAGGCUCCUCUGUCCAUGGGAUUUCCCAAGCAAGAAUACUGGAGUGGAUUGUCAUUUCCUCCUCUAGGGGAUCUUCCUAACCCAGGGAUGGAAACUGCAUCUCCUGUCUCCUGCAUUGGCAGGCAAUUCUUUGUCCCUGAGCCACUUGGGGGCGCCUCCUUAUAGACUGCCAGGCAAGUAGAAGAGCCUCGGUGAAGAGUCACUGAAGAAAUAAAUAC
ensembl:lncRNA